rnacentral:rRNA from 1 species
UACAGAGGGUGCGAGCGUUAAUCGGAAUUACUGGGCGUAAAGCGUGCGUAGACGGUAGCGUAAGUCAGAUGUGAAAGCCCCGGGCUCAACCUGGGAAUUGCAUUUGAGACUGCUCUGCUCGGGUGCGGAAGAGGGAAGUGGAAUUCCCGGUGUAGUGGUGAAAUGCGUAGAUAUCGGGAGGAACACCAGUGGCGAAGGCGACUUCCUGGCCUGUUCUUGACGCUGAGGCGCGAAAGCUAGGGUAGCAAACGGG